GUUCCAGUGAAAAACUAUCAGAGCCUUGUCUAAUUUAAUGUUUGAUUCCCAGGAAGUAGCUCCAUGACUUCACCCAAUCUGGAAAAGGAAACUGAGGCACAUAAACAUAAAAAUUAAGUCAUUCACCCAAGAUUUCACGGUGGAAUAAAUAGAAAUGGAACCAAGGCAUUUUUUGCUCUGGAACUAGGCAUUUCAGCUAAGAGGCUGAAAAUUUUCUGAGCUACUGUUUAGAGAUGACAUGUAAUCUGAACUGUUCUCUCUUUUUCUUCCACCAGUGUCUGUCAACUGUGCUAAAAACUGGCUCCAGGUCAAAGUGAGACGAACGCCGUUUGUGGAUGAGCUGCUACCCCAGGUUCAUGAGCUCUUUCUCGGAGAUGGCUGCCCCGUCACCACAGAGCUGCCUGAUUCCUUUGAGUUCCUUUACAGUCUUACUACUUGUGGCAUCAGGACUUACGAAAGCUCAUGGGGCAUUCUCAUUGAAAGCUCAGUCACAUAUGAAUCUUUGUUUAUAAACAGAGGAGGUGUCAUCCCAGUGCUGUGCUUUGUUAAAAGAAAUGAUCCAUUCACCUUUGGGGAAGAAGACAUAGAAAGUGAUAAUGAAACAACUGGGGAAAACGCCCAAGGGCCAGGCAGACAGAAGAACACAGCACCACCGGAAGCACCAUCCUUGGAGCCCCCUCCAGGAAUACCAAGCAAGUGAGUCGUCUUUUGACUUAGUACUAUCAAUGCUUUCCAAGGCACAAAAAAGCAAAGGUUCAGUAC
rnacentral:lncRNA from 1 species